GGCCAGACUCCUACGGGAGGCAGCAGUGGGGAAUAUUGCACAAUGGGGGAAACCCUGAUGCAGCGACGCCGCGUGAGCGAUGAAGUAUUUCGGUAUGUAAAGCUCUAUCAGCAGGGAAGAAAAUGACGGUACCUGACUAAGAAGCCCCGGCUAACUACGUGCCAGCAGCCGCGGUAAUACGUAGGGGGCAAGCGUUAUCCGGAUUUACUGGGUGUAAAGGGAGCGUAGACGGCUGUGCAAGCCAGAUGUGAAAGCCCGGGGCGCAACCCCGGGACUGCAUUUGGAACUGCGUGGCUUGAGUGUCGGAGAGGCAGGCGGAAUUCCUAGUGUAGCGGUGAAAUGCGUAGAUAUUAGGAGGAACACCAGUGGCGAAGGCGACUUUCUGGACGAUAACUGACGUUGAGGCACGAAAGUGUGGGGAGCAAACAGGAUUAGAUACCCUAGUAACC
rnacentral:rRNA from 1 species